GCAGCUAAUUGCAAUGACGGGGAACCUGUGCUGGUAAAGGCGAUGGUGUAGAGAUUGUGUGUGGUAUCGAUAGUGUAGAGAUUGUCUGAGGUAUCGAUAGUGUGGAGACUGUUUGAGGUAUCGAUAGUGUGGAGACUGUGUGAGGUAUCGAUAGUGUAGAGAUUGUGUGAGGUAUCGAUAGUGUAGAGACUGUGAGGUAUCGAUAGUGUAGAGACUGUGUGAGGUAUCGAUAGUGUAGUGACUGUGUGAGGUAUCGAUAGUGUAGUGACUGUGAGGUAUCGAUAGUGUAGAGACUGUGAGGUAUCGAUAGUGUUGCUGCAGCAGGAGCUGUUCCUUCGUUUGGGCGAAUAAGUCCAGUGUUGGAGGACCUAUGGAAAGGAGGGUCUUUCUCAGGCCUGAUCAGCCUAGAGGGAGGUGGGUUAGCUUGGCUCCACGGCAAGUGGGUUUUUGUGUUCGUUUUCUGUUUUGUUUUAAACCACCUCUAGCCGCGCUGGGGCUCACGUGCCCUUGCCCUCACACAAACCACACGGAGAUACCAGGAGUAGGAAGCACCAGCCAGUAUAUUAUGAAAAAAGAGAAAUAAAAUACAAAAAAA
ensembl:lncRNA